rnacentral:rRNA from 1 species
CAGCAGCCGCGGUAAUACGAAGGGUGCAAGCGUUACUCGGAAUUACUGGGCGUAAAGCGUGCGUAGGUGGUGGUUUAAGUCCGUUGUGAAAGCCCUGGGCUCAACCUGGGAAUGGCAAUGGAUACUGGCGAGCUAGAGUGUGUCAGAGGAUGGUGGAAUUCCCGGUGUAGUGGUGAAAUGCGUAGAGAUCGGGAGGAACAUCAGUGGCGAAGGCGGCCAUCUGGGACAACACUGACGCUGAGGCACGAAAGCGUGGGGAGCAAACAGGAUUAGAUACCCCAGUAGUCCCUGUCUCUUAUAC